rnacentral:rRNA from 1 species
UACGUAGGGUGCAAGCGUUGUCCGGAAUUAUUGGGCGUAAAGAGCGUGUAGGCGGUCCGGUAAGUCCGCUGUGAAAGUCGGGGGCUCAACCCUCGAAUGCCGGUGGAUACUGUCGGGCUAGAGUGCGGAAGAGGCGAGUGGAAUUCCUGGUGUAGCGGUGAAAUGCGCAGAUAUCAGGAGGAACACCUAUUGCGAAGGCAGCUCGCUGGGACGUAACUGACGCUGAGACGCGAAAGCGUGGGGAGCAAACAGG